rnacentral:rRNA from 1 species
UUGCUCUUCAACGAGGAAUCCCUAGUAAGCGCAAGUCAUCAGCUUGCGUUGAUUACGUCCCUGCCCUUUGUACACACCGCCCGUCGCUACUACCGAUUGAAUGGCUCAGUGAGGCUUCCGGACUGGCCCAGGGAGGUCGGCAACGACCACCCAGGGCCGGAAAGCUAUCCAAACUCGGUCAUUUAGAGGAAGUAAAAGUCGUAACAAGGUCUCCGUUGGUGAACCAGCGGAGGGAUCAUUACAGAGUUGAAAAACUCCCAAACCACUGUGAACAUACCCGUAACCGUUGCUUCGGCGGGCGGCCCCAGGGAGGGGCCGCAGCCUCCAUUGCGGAGGCGCCCGCCGGAGGACACCAAAACAUACCUAUAUUUUUGUGGCCCUUCUGAGCGAUAGCGCAAAUAAUUAAAACUUUCAACAACGGAUCUCUUGGUUCUGGCAUCGAUGAAGAACGCAGCGAAAUGCGAUAAGUAAUGUGAAUUGCAGACUUCAGUGAAUCAUCGAAUCUUUGAACGCACAUUGCGCCCGCCAGCAUUCUGGCGGGCAUGCCUGUCCGAGCGUCAUUUCAACCCUCAAGCUCUGCUUGGUGUUGGGGCACUACGGUUGACGUAGGCCCUGAAAAUUAGUGGCGGGCUCGCUGUGGGUCCGGGCGUAGUAGCGGUAUCUCGCCUGCGGCCCCCAGCAAGCUCCAGCCGUUAAACCCCCCAAAUUACAGAAGGUUGACCUCGGAUCAGGUAGGACUACCCGCUGAACUUAAGCAUAUCAAUAAGCGGAGGA